rnacentral:rRNA from 1 species
GAUGAACGCUAGGGACAGGCCUAACACAUGCAAGUCGAGGGGCAGCACGAAGUAAGCUUGCUUACUUUGGUGGCGACCGGCGCACGGGUGCGUAACAGGUGUGCAAUCUGUCCAUAAUCGGGGAACAGCCCAGCGAAAGUUGGAUUAAUGCUCCAUGUGAGCUUGAGAGGCAUCUCUCGGGUUUGAAACGUAAGGAUUAUGGGUGAGCACGCUUCUGAUUAGGUAGUUGGUGAGGUAACGGCUCACCAAGCCGACGAUCAGUAGGGGUUCUGAGAGGAAGGUCCCCCACAUUGGAACUGAGACACGGUCCAA